rnacentral:rRNA from 1 species
UACGAAGGGGGCUAGCGUUGUUCGGAUUUACUGGGCGUAAAGCGCACGUAGGCGGAUUGUUAAGUCAGGGGUGAAAUCCCGGAGCUCAACUCCGGAACUGCCUUUGAUACUGGCAAUCUUGAGACUGGAAGAGGUUAGUGGAAUUCCCAGUGUAGAGGUGAAAUUCGUAGAUAUUGGGAAGAACACCAGUGGCGAAGGCGGCUCACUGGCCCGAUACUGACGCUGAGGUGCGAAAGCGUGGGGAGCAAGCAGG